UUCAGUAUAUGCUGUCCGCUUCUUAUCGGUCUUCUAGGCUGUUGUAUAAGAACAUAUCGCCACAAUGAUGAACAAAAUAGGGAAAGCAAGAACGAAGGAAAAGAGGAUGAAGAGAUUCCGCUUAAGAAGGAAAGUUUUAAAGAGACAACUGUUUAAAUUUCCGUGGCAAACGUACAAUGUUACGAAAGGACUGCUUGGUGUACAUGGUAUAUUGCAUGGUGAGUGACUGGCACAGGAAAAUCGUGAGGAGCAAGACAUGUGAUAACAAUAUUAUUUUGCAUUCCAAAGUCUUUCAUAUUUAUUGAGACUUUGUGUUUACUUUCAGUAACAAACUACCUAUAGCCUGAUGCGUAGUUUGUGUAUUAGAAUACGUAAGCAUUAAAUAUGUUAGUUAGAUGUUAUAUAUAUAAGCUUGACAUGAGAAUUGUGUUAAGGUGGUGAGCAUCAACUUACAUAAGUACGGACUCGAAACCUUUCGAAUGGAUGAUGUUUUGAUAAGUGAUUAUUUUUAUGUUUUUUAGAACAUGGUGCUUGGUGUUCACAAUAGAUAUGUUUUCAUUAAUACGUUCAGACGAUGAUAUAACACAGUUCAUGUUCGCGUGUAGUCCAAAGCACAAGGAGGCGAUAUAUGUCUUUUCUUCGAGAUAUUAGUGUGAUAUAAUUGAGGAUACAUGAUAUAAGAUAUACUUGAAUGUGACGCAAUACUCGAUAUAGAAAGAGAUCUGGAUGCAGACCUGACAGGUAUCAUUUCACUAAUGUUAGUGUUAAUCAAUUUGUGAUGUUUUUAUCCUUGACCCGGGACCGUCAUUUUAGACACAGUGCAUUAGUGUAUAUCAAGUCAUUUAUUUACAUUUUGCUAUAUACGCAUGAAUUGUUAUGGCACGACCAGAGUGUUUCAAAGAGUUAUGGUCGUUUUCCGCUUAUCCUGACCUAGGCCACGUACAACCAAAGUCUGGGCUAAAAACACAGGUAAAAUAUCACGUGACCCCAGUGUUUCCUACACUACCAAAAUAGAUCGUCAUGGUCCAUUGGCGCACUGUAUGUUGUGAACGGAUUACAUUGACAUGAUCAAUAUGAAUUUUACACUACCCAUCCAUGUAUGCCUGUUGUCGACGCUCCAGUUCAUUUACACUUUACUUUGAAUGAUACGGGGUAAACCGGUUAUGAUUUUAGUCUUAUUUUUGUCAAAGUGGAAAAUUUCUACCUCAACAUUUUUAUCUUUAUACUUAAUAUUUUAUAUUAGAUAUGCAUUUAAUGUUACAAAUAUCUUUGAAAAACGAUCGAAAAAAAAUUUAAUGAUAUUAAAAAACAUAACAAAAUAUGAAUAAGAUACAUCUUUGUGAUGUGAACUCCGAACCUUCGGGUUGCUAGGGGACGGUUCUACCAUUGAGCUAUGCGGAUUUACGGCAAUGUGAAGUUUAUGUUACUAGUUAUAGUCAGUCUAGUUAAUGCUCAAACUAAAAUAUUUUAUUUACAUUUUUUUCAAUUUUUUGAUACCAACGCAU